AUCUUCGUAAUUACCCAAGAUCAUAUCAAAUUUGUGCAAACUAAAAUUUUAAAUUCCAAUGAGAAAUUAUUAAAAGUAGAGAAAAUCAAUUUUCUUUGUUGUAAAGUUGGGCGGACAAUAGUAAGUCUUCGUUAAAAAAGUUACAUAUAUGUAUACGUACAGUAGAACCUGGUAGAACUUAGUAGAACCUAGAGUGGGCGCAAUCAGUCACAAUCAGUUGCAAUCAGUGUGAUUGGUGUAAUGUGGCCUGAUGGCGUAAAAGCUUUCUCUUUUAUGGAUCUUACGAGCUUGCGAAUGAAAGAAAGAACGAGUAGUAUCAAAGUGGAGAAACUUUAACGCUGCGAUAUAAUACGCGAUAAAUGAGCUCCAUACAAGUAUACAAUUUAUUGACGUAAAAUGAGGUCGGUUCGCUGUGUCUGGCUAUCGAGAGGUGUCUUCUAUUGACACUUAACCAAACUUGACGCGUUACAAAAUUUUAACUCGUUACACAAGUUUAUGACAUGUGUCCUGCAAAUAUCGUUUAAAUGGUAGGUAUCAAAGUAAUGAAACAAAUCAACGAAAAGUACUGAUCGUACAUAAUCUUUGUUGUAAUUGAAAUUAAUAAUAUUCAUAAUAACGAUGGUGAUGACGUUGAGUUAUAAUGACAACAACGCUCACGACGACGAAGAUAAUAACGGUAGCUAACUAGCAACAAUGACAAAGAUAAUAGUAAUAAUGGAAAUAACGCUAAGAACAUUGAUAAUGAUAUCCUUAUACAGUGAAUUGCUAUUGUGUCCACACUAGUCGGAAACGUGUAUAAAAAUUAAAUUGAAUCGUAUAAAAUGGAUUCUAAGAGUACACGACUACAGUUACAAUUAGAGUGCUUCAUUCGUGCAAUAAUUAAGUUUGGACUAUAAAUAAUGGGAAUUCCGUGAGGCUGUUUUUCGAUCGAAAUGUUUAUCACCUUCUAAUGUACGCUGUUUGUGAAUCGACAAAUAAAAACGUUUUAAUCGCGCAGUUUCGUGACACAUGUAAAACAUGAACUAUAGUUGCAUAUGAACGUAGCAACGGAGAUGGUCAAAAUUCUUAUCUAGAUAAAGAUUUCGAGUAACGAAAAAGAUAGCCUUUUUGGUCCGUUCUUUGUUCGAUAAUACGUAUCUAUAAUCUGUAAUACGAAAUGAACACGUUGAACAAAUAAUGACUGUUCGAUCGAAUCAAUGUAAUAAAUAGAACGCUACACGGUA